CAGGGUCCUCAAGCAGCAGCUUGUAAAGUGUGCAGUCAAAUUCCUUCCAGGGAGAGACUGGACAGUUUGCAUGUCCGCAUGCCCCCUCCACACCGAGCCCUGUGGAUCAGCUGAGUGGAAGAUUGGUCCACCGGUGACGACUUGAUCCUUCUGCCAUGAAGACAUCUACCAACUAACUCAUCUGACUGGUGACCGUGAAGUCCAGCCACCUGUUGCCUACACUGCCAUGACGUGGUGCCACCCUGCACAUACUGGCACAAGCGACCCUCUCCUUUGCUCCGUCUCGGAAAGUCUCCAGUGCGCGAGUCCCCG